rnacentral:lncRNA from 1 species
AGGAAGUUACAGAUAUAACACUGUUGCUUUGGACAGUAGUUAAAAAAUGCUAUUUAGAUAAUCCGCGGAUUCCUGACACCGUCCUUUAAACCGGAUGCUUCAAAUGCCAUGAGCCUUGGUUCCUGUCAAAGUUGAGGCAGAUUCGGGAUGCAUCUGAGCAUUCCUGAUGAAUCAACACUGGAGCCCAGAAUUCAGGUAGGAAGAAACGAACAUUCAAAUUCCGCUGUCAUGUUACACGAACUGUAAGAAAGGAACGUUUCCC